UACGGAGGGUGCGAGCGUUGUCCGGAAUCACUGGGCGUAAAGGGCGCGUAGGCGGCCUGAUAAGUAGGGGGUGAAAUCCUGCGGCUUAACCGCAGGGCUGCCUUCUAAACUGUCAGGCUAGAGCACAGUAGAGGCAGGUGGAAUUCCCGGUGUAGCGGUGGAAUGCGUAGAGAUCGGGAAGAACAUCAGUGGCGAAGGCGGCCUGCUGGGCUGUUGCUGACGCUGAGGCGCGACAGCGUGGGGAGCGAACAGG
rnacentral:rRNA from 1 species